GGUCAGAUGGCCGAGUGGUCUAAGGCGCUAGUUUCAGGUACUAGUCUCUUCGGAGGCGUGGGUUCGAGUCCCACUCUGAUCA